GAUGAACGCUGGCGGCGUGCCUAAUACAUGCAAGUUGUGCGGUAACAGAGAGAGCUUGCUCUCUGCUGACGAGCGGCGGACGGCAGAGUAACGCGUAGGAACAUACCCCAAACUGAGGGAUAACUGCUCGAAAGAGUAGCUAAUACCGCAUGUGGUCUUCGGAUUAAAAGCUUCGGCGGUUUGGGAGUGGCCUGCGUCCGAUUAGCUAGUUGGUGAGGUAAUUGCUCACCAAGGCGACGAUCGGUAGCUGGUCUGAGAGGAUGAUCAGCCUGACUGGAACUGAGAACGGUCCAGACUCCUACGGGAGGCAGCAGUAGGGAAUUUUCCACAAUGGGCGAAAGCCUGAUGGAGCAACGCCGCGUGCAGGAUGAAUGCCUUCGGUUGUAAACUGCUUUCUGUGUGAAGAAUAUGACGGUAACACAGGAAUAAGGGUACGGCGUAACUAACGUGCCAGCAGCCGCGGUAA
rnacentral:rRNA from 1 species